rnacentral:rRNA from 1 species
GACGAACGCUGGCGGCGUGCUUAACACAUGCAAGUCGAGCGGUAAGGCCCUUUCGGGGUACGACGAGCGGCGAACGGGUGAGUAACUCGUGGGUGACCUGCCCUCAGCUCUGGGAGUAAGACCUGGGAAAACCGGGUCUAAUACUGGAUAUGACUCCAUGACGCAUGUUGUGGGGUGGAAAGCCUUGUGCGGCUGAGGAUGGGCCCGCGGCCUAUCAGCUUGUUGGUGGGGUGAGGCCUACCAAGGCGACGACGGGUAGCCGGCCUGAGA